CUCAGGAUGAACGCUGGCGGCGUGCUUAACACAUGCAAGUCGAACGGAGUUAACAUGUGAGCGGAGAGUGCUUUGCACUUAACAAUCUUUGUAACUUAGUGGCGACGGGUGAGUAACGCGUGGGUAACCUGCCUUGUACAGGGGGAUAACACUUAGAAAUAGGUGCUAAUACCGCAUAAGCGCACAGUGUCGCAUGACACAGUGUGAAAAACUCCGGUGGUACAAGAUGGACCCGCGUCUGAUUAGCUAGUUGGAGAGGUAACGGCUCCCCAAGGCGACGAUCAGUAGCCGGACUGAGAGGUUGAUCGGCCACAUUGGGACUGAGACACGGCCCAGACUCCUACGGGAGGCAGCAGUGGGGGAUAUUGCACAAUGGGCGAAAGCCUGAUGCAGCGACGCCGCGUGAGGGAAGACGGUUUCGGAUUGUAAACCUCUGUCUUCGGGGACGAAAAUGACGGUACCCGAGGAGGAAGCCACGGCUAACUACGUG
rnacentral:rRNA from 1 species